rnacentral:tRNA from 1 species
GCCUGGGUGGCUCAGUCGGUUGAGCGUCUGACUUCAGCUCAGGUCAUGAUCUCACAGUUCGUGGGUUUGAGCCCCACAUCGGGCU